rnacentral:rRNA from 1 species
UAUUGCACAAUGGGCGAAAGCCUGAUGCAGCAACGCCGCGUGUACGAUGAAGGCCUUCGGGUUGUAAAGUACUUUUAUGAGGGAAGAGUAAGGACUGUACCUCAUGAAUAAGGAUCGGCUAACUACGUGCCAGCAGCCGCGGUAACACGUAGGAUCCGAGCGUUAUCCGGAUUUACUGGGCGUAAAGCGCGUGUAGGUGGUCUGUUAAGUUAGGUGUUAAAUCUCUCGGCUCAACUGGGAGGUGUCGCUUAAAACUGGCAGACUGGAGGACGGUAGAGGAAGGUGGAAUUCCGGGUGUAGUGGUGAAAUGCGUAGAUAUCCGGAGGAACAUCAGUGGCGAAGGCGGCCUUCUGGACCGCUCCUGACACUCCAACGCGAAAGCUAGGGGAGCAAACGGG